UACGUAGGGUGCGAGCGUUGUCCGGAAUUAUUGGGCGUAAAGGGCUCGUAGGCGGUUUGUCGCGUCGGGAGUGGAAACCAUGGGCUUAACUCAUGGCUUGCUUUCGAUACGGGCAGACUAGAGGUAUGCAGGGGAGAACGGAAUUCCUGGUGUAGCGGUGAAAUGCGCAGAUAUCAGGAGGAACACCGGUGGCGAAGGCGGUUCUCUGGGCAUGACCUGACGCUGAGGAGCGAAAGUGUGGGGAGCGAACAGG
rnacentral:rRNA from 1 species